CCAAGCCCCGGGGUGAGGAUCACGCCAAAGUGCAAAUUUGGAGGGACACCCCCAGUGGGUGUCGGGGCUUCUCCCGUUU
rnacentral:tRNA from 1 species